GACGAACGCUGGCGGCGUGCCUAAUACAUGCAAGUAGAACGCACAGUUUAUACCGUAGCUUGCUACACCAUAAACUGUGAGUUGCGAACGGGUGAGUAACGCGUAGGUGACCUGCCUGGUAGCGGGGGAUAACUAUUGGAAACGAUAGCUAAUACCGCAUAAUAUUAAUUAUUGCAUGAUAAUUGAUUGAAAGAUGCAAUUGCAUCACUACCAGAUGGACCUGCGUUGUAUUAGCUAGUAGGUGAGGUAACGGCUCACCUAGGCGACGAUACAUAGCCGACCUGAGAGGGUGAUCGGCCACACUGGGACUGAGACACGGCCCAGACUCCUACGGGAGGCAGCAGUAGGGAAUCUUCGGCAAUGGACGAAAGUCUGACCGAGCAACGCCGCGUGAGUGAAGAAGGUUUUCGGAUCGUAAAGCUCUGUUGUAAGAGAAGAACGGGUGUGAGAGUGGAAAGUUCACACUGUGACGGUAUCUUACCAGAAAGGGACGGCUAACUACGUG
rnacentral:rRNA from 1 species